rnacentral:rRNA from 1 species
GUGUCAGCCGCCGCGGUAAUACGAAGGGGGCUAGCGUUGUUCGGAUUUACUGGGCGUAAAGCGCACGUAGGCGGUUUGUUAAGUCAGGGGUGAAAUCCCACAGCUCAACUGUGGAACUGCCUUUGAUACUGGCAAGCUAGAGUCCGGAAGAGGUAAGUGGAACUCCUAGUGUAGAGGUGGAAUUCGUAGAUAUUAGGAAGAACACCAGUGGCGAAGGCGGCUUACUGGUCCGGAACUGACGCUGAGGUGCGAAAGCGUGGGGAGCAAACAGGAUUAGAUACCCCUGUAGUCC